GGGGUAGAGUUCUUCGGAACUUGAGACCGGCGCACGGGUGCUUAACGCGUAUGCAAUCUACCUUUUACAGAGGGAUAGCCCAGAGAAAUUUGGAUUAAUACCUCAUAGUAUAUAGCCCUGGCAUCAGGAUUAUAUUAAAGUCACAACGGUAAAAGAUGAGCAUGCGUCCCAUUAGCUAGUUGGUAAGGUAACGGCUUACCAAGGCUACGAUGGGUAGGGGUCCUGAGAGGGAGAUCCCCCACACUGGUACUGAGACACGGACCAGACUCCUACGGGAGGCAGCAGUGAGGAAUAUUGGACAAUGGGCGCAAGCCUGAUCCAGCCAUGCCGCGUGCAGGAUGACGGUCCUAUGGAUUGUAAACUGCUUUUAUACGAGAAGAAACACUCCAACGUGUUGGAGCUUGACGGUAUCGUAAGAAUAAGGAUCGGCUAACUCCGUGCCAGCAGCCGCGGUAAUACGGAGGAUCCAAGCGUUAUCCGGAAUCAUUGGGUUUAAAGGGUCCGUAGGCGGUUUAAUAAGUCAGUGGUGAAAGCCCAUCGCUCAACGGUGGAACGGCCAUUGAUAC
rnacentral:rRNA from 1 species